UUUUUUUCUUUCCCCUUCCCUCAGCGGGGGAAGAAGGCGGGGCGAAGAAGAUGGCCUCCAAUCAGAGCCAAAGAGCGGGACACCCUUGGCUCCGCCCCCCGUGUCCCUCAGGCGCCGACUAUAAGAGCCCCACCCGGGUUUGCUCCGUGUGGAGCGGGCAGAGUUUGGAGUCGGAGCAGGUGUCUGAACCUCCAAGUGCCCACUCCACCCUCGGCACCAGGAGGUGAGGAGAAGCACCAGAAGAGGAAGGAGGAGGAGGAGAAGCCUUAAGAGGUCCUGACCAGCCCUGCACCAACUGGACCAAACCGGCCACGGAGAGCCUGGCGGCAUAGGUGACAAGCCAGAUGAAACCUCCUGUAGGGAUGCGGUCCAGGCAGCUGCCCCGACGAGGAAGAGAGGACGAGGGAGGAGCGAUGGGAGAUCGAGCGGCCCCGUGGAGACCGGGACACCCUGAGAGAAGAUGGGAGUUGACCUGUCCGUCGAAAAAAAAAAAAUAAGUAUCUCCUCAUAGACUCACCCAAAGCAACCUGGAAACAUUAGCUGCUAGUAUCGAAUGAUUUGUACCUAGAUAAGUCUCUUGCACGUUUUUCUGUUCAAGAUGAAUCGGUCUUUGGACUUUUCCUCACAGAAUAUUUCCCUAAUCCAUUUUCAGGAGAAAGAACUCUGGUCAGGAUGUUGCUUUCACGCCUUAAAAUUCAGUCAGAGGAGAGGUAGGAGGUACAGGGAGCCUUUAGUUAUGAAGAAAUAAUAAGGAAAAUAAAAAGAGAGAUUCAAUACGUAGUACUGCCAGGAAAUUUAAAAGUAGGGGAAAAAAACGGAAGCUUAUUGUGGAUUUCCAAGGGAAAUUUACCUCACAGCUCCUUAAAAAGAAUGAAUAAAAUGUGUUGAGGCGAGGCUCCCUGAUUUAGGGCAGUUCACUCUCCGGACUAUUGGGAUUGGGUUAAUACUCCAGGUGAGGUUUGGAAUAGUGCAAGAAGAGAUAAGAGCAAAUGGUUACACAUUUCCUUCUAAAGCUGUGAUUCUGAAAACAGUGGUGUCGUCUGUGCUCAAACCCCAGUUGCUAUUUUUCCAGAGACUCAACCUGCCUACUUCUGGGAGCACCCCAUCCAGCAAUCAUCCGGGCAGCUGCCGGAAUUCAAAACCUCCAAUCGGCUCGGCUCCCCCCUAGAACACUGGAAGAACCAAGACUGCGGCGAGAGAAGGCUUUCACCACGGAUCGUGCGGCAAGAGAUGGGAAAAGGGAAAACCCUCUUAGGCUCCCCUAAAGUGAUUCUCCACCCUCCCAACCCCCCUACCACUCCCUCCCGGUGCUCUGUCCUAGGACUUUGUGGCUAGGAAGGAGGAGGGGGGAAGAAGAUAGUUUUCUUUAUGCACUCCCCCUCCUGCUGUUCUCUACCUACCUAAGGUCU